AGUGAACGCUGGCGGUAGGCCUAACACAUGCGAGUCGAACGGCAGCACAGUAAGAGCUUGCUCUUACGGGUGGCGAGUGGCGGACGGGUGAGGAAUACAUCGGAAUCUACUUUUUCGUGGGGGAUAACGUCGGGAAACUUACGCUAAUACCGCAUACGACCUACGGGUGAAAGCAGGGGAUCUUCGGAACUUGCGCGAUUGAAUGAGCCGAUGUCGGAUUAGCUAGUUGGCGGGGUAAAGGCCCACCAAGGCGACGAUCCGUAGCUGGUCUGAGAGGAUGAUCAGCCACACUGGAACUGAAACACGGUCCAGACUCCAACGGGAGGCAGCAGUGGGGAAUAUUGGACAAGGGGCGCAAGCCUGAUCCAGCCAUACCGCGUGGGUGAAAAAGGGCUUCGGGUUGUAAAGCCCUUUUGUUGGGAAAGAAAAGCAGCAGGUUAAUACCCCGCUGUUCUGACGGUACCCAAAGAAUAAGCACCGGCUAACUUCGUG
rnacentral:rRNA from 1 species